rnacentral:rRNA from 1 species
GAUGAACGCUAGCGGCAGGCUUAAUACGUGCAAGUCGAGGGGCAGCGCGGACUUCGGUCUGGCGGCGACCGGCAAACGGGUGCGGAACACGUACACAACCUUCCUUUAAGUGGGGAAUAGCCCAGAGAAAUUUGGAUUAAUACCCCGUAACAUUAUGAUGUGGCAUCACAUUAUAAUUAUAGCUACGGCGCUUAAUGAUGGGUGUGCGGCUGAUUAGGUAGUUGGCGGGGUAACGGCCCACCAAGCCUGCGAUCAGUAACUGGUGUGAGAGCACGACCAGUCACACGGGCACUGAGACACGGGCCCGACUCCUACGGGAGGCAGCAGUAAGGAAUAUUGGGCAAUGGAGGAAACUCUGACCCAGCCAUGCCGCGUGGAGGAUGAAGGUCCUCUGGAUUGUAAACUUCUUUUAUAUGGGACGAAAAAGGGUCUUUCUAGGUCAACUGACGGUACCAUAUGAAUAAGCACCGGCUAACUCCGUGCCAGCAGCCGCCGUAAUAC